rnacentral:misc_RNA from 1 species
CAUAACCUCGCUACUAGCAGAAUUAUUGGUGCUAAUACUGAGCAUCUUGAUGGACAAGUGAAAGAAGGUGCUGUGAAUUUUAACCCUAUAACGGCUAAAUCUCCUGUUGUGGGGUCAACUACUAUUACAAAAGGAUAUGGGUUGAGAAAGUGGAGGCGAAUUAAGAGAGAGGUUGUUAAGGAUGCAAAUACCGGUGCUGAUAACAGUAAAGUUUUGAAGCGA